UUGCUUCAGCAGCAUAUGUACUAAAAUUGAAACGAUACAGAGAAGAUUAGCAUGGCCCCUGCGAAAGGAUGACAUGCAAAAUUGUAAAAUGUUUCCUUUUUUU
ensembl:snRNA U6 U6 spliceosomal RNA